UUUUUGUGACUUUCGGCCUUUUAAAAAGUAAAAAACAUUCAAAAGUCAAAAAAUUUCACCCAAACAUUUUUAAAACCAACUUUUAAUUUUUCCUCCUUAAAAAAAACUUUUAUAAAAAAAACUUUUAGCUUUGAAAAGAAAUCUCAAACACCCCCCAAUCCUUACAACUCUUGAAGUCUGUAGGUUCUAAUUUUUUCUCCUUAAAAAGAACUUUUAUAAAAAAGAUUUUUGGCUUUGAAAAGAAAUCUCAAACACCCCCCAAUCCUUACAACUCUUGAAGUCUAUAGGUUCGUUCCUCUACGAUACAGUUUGUUCUUCAAGUUUUACGUUCAUGAUUCUCACUUUUAUGAUGAUCAUAUG
rnacentral:lncRNA from 1 species